AAAUGAUGUUAUGGUGGAACUACUUCCGGCACUACGAUGACUCCCUCCUUGUCCUUGGAAUGGCAACAAUAAAGCCUGCCCGCUGCAGCUUGCAAGAUGGCAAGACCCUUUGAUUGAUGCUUCUCACAUUGCAUCUAUUGCGUGUGGACCAAAGGUCCGGUGGCUAGCUCCGGCAGUGGCCGAGCUGCCCGCUCGGGUUCGAGCCCCGUCGGGGCCGAAUUUCCAGGUGCCGCACGGGGUUCAUCCCCAGAGGGGUACCGGGGUGCGUGUGUAUAGUGUGUGGUGUGUGCGUGUGUAAGCCCCGGCAGGCGCGUCCUCGGACUUCCCGGCAGCCCAUCUGCGUUGAGCGCGCGGUCAGCGUGGAUGCCCAACUGAGUUCUUACAUGAUUCCCUAGUGCUCUGGGUGCUUUCAAAAAAAAAACAUUGCAUCUAUUGUAUGGACCUUUGCAUCCACACAGCUGGAAGGUGAAUAUCCACUGGUAGCAAGCGUUUUUGCCUUACGUAUAUGCUUUUGUGGACCUUUUUAUCGUAAAGGAUGACCUCACACCUUUUACUUGAUGGAUGCAACAUCUCGCUCUUCCUUCCAGAUCCUAUUGCUGCUAACUGUUCAAUGGCUUGUAGGAGCUCUAAAAAGAGUUUUAAACAGCAGAACUUGUAUUUGUAUUUUUUUGAGAAAUACAUAUGGCUUCAUAUCCAUUUGUACU